UCUAAAAAAUGCAACAUACUUUAUUUUCUUUAUAGUAAUGGUUGUAGAAAAAUUGUUAAAGGAAGAUGAAUUUGAGACUUUUUUUCAGAUGAUUUCUCUCAUUUUUUCUCUCUUUUUCAUGUCUUUAUAUAGCCAAGAUUAUCAACAGUCAAUUGCACUGGUGGGUGGUAGAGGGAAACGGUAGCUGACUUGCCCAUACUUGCUGCUGACAGAUCAUGAUUUUUUUAUUGAGAUAAACGAGUUCAUGAGUUAAAGAUUAAUCUGCAACAAUCAAGGAAAGGAAAGAAGGAAUUUUAUAGCAUCUAAUAGUUCCAAGUACGCCACAACAAAAUAGUGUAGUCGAGCGGAUGAACAAAACCUUGAUGGAAAAGGUCAAGUCUGACUCUACCACUGCCUGCAACAUUGAUGGCGCUUUUUCUACCAUCAUCACAUGUUCAUAUAUAUAUAUAUAUGUUUGAAGGAGCUAGCGCGGCUACGCACAUGGGAUGGAGGAACGUUAUGCUAUUGAAGGAUUGGUCAAAUAAAUAUUUUAAUUUUUGUAUUUGUAUGUUUUUUAUUUAAAUAUUUAAUAUUUUUUAUUAUUAUU